rnacentral:rRNA from 1 species
ACGGGUGAGUAAUGUCUGGGAAACUGCCUGAUGGAGGGGGAUAACUACUGGAAACGGUAGCUAAUACCGCAUAACGUCGCAAGACCAAAGAGGGGGACCUUCGGGCCUCUUGCCAUCAGAUGCGCCCAGAUGGGAUUAGCUAGUAGGUGGGGUAACGGCUCACCUAGGCGACGAUCCCUAGCUGGUCUGAGAGGAUGACCAGCCACACUGGAACUGAGACACGGUCCAGACUCCUACGGGAGGCAGCAGUGGGGAAUAUUGCACAAUGGGCGCAAGCCUGAUGCAGCCAUGCCGCGUGUAUGAAGAAGGCCUUCGGGUUGUAAAGUACUUUCAGCGGGGAGGAAGGUGUUGAGGUUAAUAACCUCAGCAAUUGACGUUACCCGCAGAAGAAGCACCGGCUAACUCCGUGCCAGCAGCCGCGGUAAUACGGAGGGUGCAAGCGUUAAUCGGAAUUACUGGGCGUAAAGCGCACGCAGGCGGUCUGUCAAGUCGGAUGCGAAAUCCCCGGGCUCAACCUGGGAACUGCAUUCGAAACUGGCAGGCUAGAGUCUUGUAGAGGGGGGUAGAAUUCCAGGU